rnacentral:tRNA from 1 species
CGCGGGGUGGAGCAGCCCGGUAGCUCGUCAGGCUCAUAACCUGAAGGUCACAGGUUCAAAUCCUGCCCCCGCAACCA